rnacentral:rRNA from 1 species
AGAGUUUGAUUAUGGCUCAGGACAACGCUGGCGGCGUGCUUAACACAUGCAAGUUGAACGGGCAGACUUGUCUGUUAGUAGCGGACGGGUGAGUAAUGCAUGAGGAGCUGUCAUAGGGAGGGGGACAACAGUUGGAAACGGCUGCUAAUACCCCGUAGCCGGAAGGUGAAAGGAGCGAUCCGCCCGAUGAGGUACUCAUGUCCUAUCAGCUGGUUGGUGGGGUAACGGCCUACCAAGGCGACGACGGGUAGCCGGCCUGAGAGGGUGAACGGCCACACUGGAACUGAGAUACGGUCCAGACUCCUACGGGAGGCAGCAGUGGGGAAUAUUGGGCAAUGGGGGGAACCCUGACCCAGCGACGCCGCGUGAGGGCGGUUCGUUGACCUCUUUUGUACGGGGGAAACUGUACGAAUAAGUCCCGGCAACUACGUGCCAGCAGCCGCGGUAAUACGUAGGGGACGAGCGUUGUCCGGAAUUACUGGGCGUAAAGGGCGCGUAGGCUGUGCUGCAAGUCAGCUGUGAAAUAUCUGGGCUUAACCUGGAUAUGCGGAUGAGACUGCAGUGCUGGAGUGCUGUAGAGGCAAGUGGAAUUCCCAGUGUAGCGGUGAAAUGCGUAGAUAUUGGGAAGAACACCGGUGGCGAAGGCGACUUGCUGGGCACAACUGACGCUGAGGCGCGAAAGCCAGGGGAGCGAACGGGAUUAGAUACCCCGGUAGUCCUGGCCGUAAACGAUGAAUGCUAGGUGUGGGUGUAGAGAUACAUUCGUGCCGGAGUUAACGCGAUAAGCAUUCCGCCUGGGGAGUACGGUCGCAAGAUUGAAACUCAAAGGAAUUGACGGGGGCCCGCACAAGCGGUGGAGCACGUGGUUUAAUUCGAUGCAAACCGAAGAACCUUACCUGGGUACAUGACGUGGUACGAUCUGAAAAGUGAGGAUUGAGCGUCAAGGUGCUGCAUGGCUGUCGUCAGCUCGUGUCGUGAGAUGUAGGGUUAAGUCCCGAAACGAGCGCAACCCCUAUUCUAUGUUACAAGUGUCUUAGAAAACCGCCUCGGUAAAACGAGGAGGAAGGUGGGGAUGACGUCUGGUCCGCAUAGCCCUUAUGUCCUGGGCUACACACGCGCUACAAUGGCCGAUACAGUAGGAAGCCAAAUCGUAAGAUGGAGCUAUCCUCAAAGUCGGUCUCAGUUCGGAUUGAGGUCUGAAAUUCGACCUCAUGAAGUUGGAUUUGCUAGUAAUCGUAGAUCAGCAAUGCUACGGUGAAUACGUUCUCGGGUCUUGCACACACCCCCGUC